rnacentral:rRNA from 1 species
CUUGAACCCUAUAAGAGGUCCAGCCUGCCCAGUGAAACAAUUCAACGGCCGCGGUAUCCUAACCGUGCGAAGGUAGCGUAAUCACUUGUUCUCUAAAUCAGGACUAGUAUGAACGGCAUCACGAGGGUUAUACUGUCUCCUUUUUCCAAUUAGUGAAUUUAAUUUUCCCGUGAAGAAGCGGGAAUAAGCCUAUAAGACGAGAAGACCCUAUGGAGCUUUAAACAAUCUAGCAUCUGCCUAUAUUCUUCAUGUUUCAGAACUCUCUAGACCUCCUACAUAAUGACUAGAAGUUUUAGGUUGGGGUGACCGCGGAGUAAAACCCAUCCUCCAUAAUGAAAGAAUUUUAAUUCUUAACCAAGAAAUACCUAUCUAAGUAUUAAUACACUGACAUUUAUUGACCCAAUACAAUUGAUCAACGAAC